rnacentral:rRNA from 1 species
CCUACGGGAGGCAGCAGUGGGGGAUAUUGCACAAUGGGGGGAACCCUGAUGCAGCGACGCCGCGUGGGUGAAGAAGCGCCUCGGCGCGUAAAGCCCUGUCAGCAGGGAAGAAAAUGACGGUACCUGAAGAAGCAGCCCCGGCUAACUACGUGCCAGCAGCCGCGGUAAUACGUAGGGGGCAAGCGUUAUCCGGAGUUACUGGGUGGAAAGGGGGCGCAGACGGCGAUGCAAGCCAGGAGUGAAAGCCCGGGGCCCAACCCCGGGACUGCUCUUGGAACUGCGUGGCUGGAGUGCAGGAGGGGCAGGCGGAAUUCCUGGUGUAGCGGGGAAAUGCGUAGAUAUCAGGAGGAACACCGGUGGCGAAGGCGGCCUGCUGGACUGCAACUGACGUUGAGGCCCGAAAGCGUGGGGAGCAAACAGGAUUAGAUACCCCUGUAGUC